UACGGAAGGCAGCAGUGGGGAAUAUUGCACAAUGGGCGCAAGCCUGAUGCAGCCAUGCCGCGUGUAUGAAGAAGGCCUUCGGGUUGUAAAGUACUUUCAGUCGUGAGGAAGGUGCUAAGGUUAAUAACCUUAGCAAUUGACGUUAGCGACAGAAGAAGCACCGGCUAACUCCGUGCCAGCAGCCGCGGUAAUACGGAGGGUGCGAGCGUUAAUCGGAAUUACUGGGCGUAAAGGGCACGCAGGCGGUUAAUUAAGUUGGAUGUGAAAUCCCCGGGCUUAACCUGGGAAUGGCAUUCAAGACUGGUUAGCUAGAGUCUUGUAGAGGGGGUUAGAAUUCCAUGUGUAGCGGUGAAAUGCGUAGAGAUGUGGAGGAAUACCGGGUGGCGAAGGCGGGCCCCUGGGACAAAGACUGACGCUCAUGUGCGAAAGCGUGGGGAGCAAACAGGAUUAGAUACC
rnacentral:rRNA from 1 species